GGUUCCUACGGGAGGCAGCAGUGAGGAAUAUUGGUCAAUGGCCGAGAGGCUGAACCAGCCAAGUCGCGUGAGGGAAGACGGCCCUACGGGUUGUAAACCUCUUUUGUCGGGGAGCAAAGAGAGUCACGUGUGACUCAUUGAGAGUACCCGAGGAAAAAGCAUCGGCUAACUCCGUGCCAGCAGCCGCGGUAAUACGGAGGAUGCGAGCGUUAUCCGGAUUUAUUGGGUUUAAAGGGUGCGUAGGCGGGCUGUUAAGUCAGCGGUAAAAGCCCGGGGCUCAACCCCGGCGAGCCGUUGAAACUGGC
rnacentral:rRNA from 1 species